AGCUGUCAGCACAGAGCCCGACACGGGGCUCAAACCCACAAACUGUGAGAUCAUGACCUGAGCCAAAGUCAGACGCUUAACCGACUGAGCCCCCAGCCUCCCCAAUUUUGGUUAACAAGCAGGUAACAUCUGCUUGUUAAAAACCACCAACUUUUAAGGUAAGUAAAAAUCCCCUUCUUCCAAGGUCAUUCCUUUGCGUAGCCCGAUAUGCCAUACUUUUUUCUGCAUAUAUCUCAUUAUUUACACAUGCGUUCUAAAGCGCUAUCAUUUGAUAUUUAAAAUGUUCUCAUUCUCUUAAACACGGUUCAGGAGUAUCCUUUUCCUUUGGAAUCAUCACUAUGUUCCAGACACUGCAGGUGUCGUAAGUAUGAUCUCAUAAGUCCUCAAGUUGGAAAGAACUCCGAGCAGAACCCCAUCUGUAGAAUGAGAAGCCAAUGCCCACCUCACAGAGUUUUGGGGAUCGAGCAAGACAUUGCCUACGGGGCACGCAGGGCUAGCACAAAGGCAGGGGAGGUGAGGAUGUUCCUGCCUCGUUGGGACACCCAGAGAGGCAGCUUUGCCUGGGCCCCUUUGGAAAACUGCCUCUGCAUAUGGAGGCAAGGAGGCGGUGUCUGAGACUGUGGACUCGCAUCUGUAGCGGGAAGAGAAGUGUGAGGAUGACGGUGUUCAAGGUACGACCCUUGUCAUCUUUUCUUUGUUGUGUGUGCAUGCAUGUUGGGGGCAGGGCUCUGAUUACUGGUUGCUCGCAGUUUCCCUUACUUUCCUCAGAACUCUCCUGAUUCAUUAGAUUAGCAUGAGUAACUGAAGCUGGCAGGAUAGUUCCUUAAUUGGUUGGAGGUUAAUAUUUUGAACUCCACCGUCAAGGCGGUGGGUCUUGGGUUCUGGAGGCCCGGGCAGCCCCCAUCGCGCACGUUGGACCCACACUAUCAAACUCAUUGCCACCCUCCACCUCUCUCUGUGCCCCGCCAGCGUUUGUGGGAGGGGAGUUCGUGGUAGGAACCAGAAAGAUCACGAGCUCUCUCCUAUCCUUUCAGUGUUAAAUUCUGUUUAGCGAAAAACAAACAAAAAGACUCAUUUAAUUUCCUAAUCCUUGUCCUUCCUCCUCCCUGUAACCCCCAACUUUGCUCCCAGUGCCAUCAGACUAUGCACUGCCUACCUCCCACCCCCCAUUGCAGACGCCUGCAGGCCCCCGGCCGCCCGCCCCCCAUUCCUUCACCAUAUUAGCUCCUGGCUCACCGUCACCUCUCCAGUACCGCUCUGGUCGGGGUUCAGUACAGACAAGCCUCACAGUACCGCGGGGCUCUCAGGUCACUGACCAGCCUGGCUGCGAUGUGCUGAUCCCGUACUCCGUCUCGGCCUCCUGCUCCCGCAGUCACACCUUAGCCAUGGUCAUCAUCAGUAGCCACACCCCAGUAGGCAACACGGUCUUCAUAUCUACACCUCUCAUUUUCCAACCGUGGCCCCCUGCCCUUCCGUCCCUCCCCCUCCAGUGCCCACCCCCUCAGCGGUUCUUCAGCCUCGCCGGGCCUAGAGUUCGUGGCCCCUACCACCUUUUCACUGCCCCUCCCCUCCCCGGAGAUUCUCUGCUCCUCAUCCGCCAUGCCCCUGGAUUUAGUCCCACUCUGUGCCUGGAAUGCCUGCACACGGCUGGAUACAAGCAUGUGGACUGACAAAGCUUUGGUUCAUGAGUGCCGGGCUCCAGUAAGUUCCUAACGCUGCCCAGCAACCCCGCACGUCCCUGGUUCCUUCGUCCUCCAGUGGACAUUCUCCUUGACCCUCGACCCUCGACCCUGACCCCUCCUCUCCUCUUGAGGGCUGCUCCUGUUGUUUCCUGUUUCACUGAGAAAACAGGCCAUCGGCGGGUGGCUUGCUCCUGCUCCCACUACCGUGUCUCCCUGCUUGUGACGGUGGUGAGCCAGCAGCAGUGCCCCUUUCCAAGUCUGUCCUCCAUCUGGGCAUCCUCCCCGCCCCCGCCCCCGCCCCCGCCCCCAAGCACCACCACAGUGCUGUCCUCGCCCCUCCUCCGGGUCAUUCCCACCGGCAUGUGAACAUGCUGGGGUGACUCCCAUCUUCCUGUUAACACAAACCCUUGACAGAGUUCUGCACACCCUCCUUUUUUCCACUUCUCAGCUUCUCUUGAACUCUCUCUGGUUGGGCUUCUGUCCCCCUCGGUCUAGUGACACGGCGCCGGGCAGGGUCACCAGUGGUUCCCCUGUUUCCAGAGGAAUGUGCUUCUCCAUGUUUGAGUCCACCUGUCAGGGACAUUUGACACAAAAGCAACGGACACCUUCCUUUUGCAAACCCCUGCUUCUUGUGGCUUCCUCGUGCUCCACUGGCCACUCAACCUCAUUUCCUCCGCCCAUCCUUAUCUCCUCCAAUACUGGAACGCCCAGUCCCCCUGGCUUCUCUAACUGCAUCUACCUCCGUGAUGAGCUCGGCCAUCUCACAGCUUUCAACACCAACUACAUGCUGCCAACUCCUCAUUUUACCCCACAGCCCAGAUCUUCCCCCGAGCCCCACACUCGUACCUCUAACUGGCCACUCUAUAUCUCCAUUAAGGUGGCGAAUGAGCUAACAGACAUCUCAGACUUUAACAUGUCAGAGAACAAGCUUCUGAGCUCUCUCCCGUCCCCUGGUCGCCCCUCAGUCUUCCCCACCGAAGGAAAGAACCCUCGUCCAUUUGUGUAGACCCAGAACUUUGGAGACAUUUUUCUUUUUC